rnacentral:rRNA from 1 species
GAUGAACGCUAGCGGCAGGCUUAACACAUGCAAGUCGAGGGGCAGCAUAAUGAAGUAGCAAUACUGAAUUGAUGGCGACCGGCGCACGGGUGCGUAACGCGUAUGUAACCUACCUCUAACAGGGGGAUAACACUGAGAAAUUGGUACUAAUACCCCAUAACACUUGAUAGGGCAUCCUAUUGAGUUGAAAGUUCCGGCGGUUAGAGAUGGACAUGCGUUGUAUUAGCUAGAUGGUGAGGUAACGGCUCACCAUGGCGACGAUACAUAGGGGGACUGAGAGGUUAACCCCCCANACUGGUACUGAGACACGGACCAGACUCCUACGGGAGGCAGCAGUGAGGAAUAUUGGUCAAUGGACGCAAGUCUGAACCAGCCAUGCCGCGUGCAGGAUGACGGCUCUAUGAGUUGUAAACUGCUUUGACAAGGGUAACCCCAUACGUGUAUCGGGCUGAAAGUACUGUACG